CUAAAUACUACCCAGUGACCGAUAGCGUAUAGUACUGUGAAGGAAAGGUGAAAAGAACCCCGGGAGGGGAGUGAAAAGAACCUGAAACCUUGUGCUUACAAGCACACAAAGCACGUCAACGUGUGAUGUGGUACCUUUUGUAGAAUGGUCCGGCGAGUGAAUGUAACUGGCGAGGUUAAGUUCUUAAGGAACGGAGCCGAAGCGAAAGCAAGUCUGAAUAGGGCGUCUUAGUCAGUUGUAUUCGACCCGAAACCGGGUGACCUAUCCAUGUCCAGGAUGAAGUUAAGGUAAAACUUGAUGGAGGUCCGAACCCACGGUCGUUGAAAUGCCCGGGGAUGAGAUGUGGAUAGCGGAGAAAUUCCAAUCGAACCCGGAUAUAGCUGGUUCUCUCCGAAAUAGCUUUAGGGCUAGCCUCGACUGAACAUUACCGGAGGUAGAGCACUGAAUGGGCUAGGGGCCGAGAGGUUACUGAACCCUAUCAAACUUCAAAUGCCGGAAAAUGAUAGUCGGGAGUCAGACUGCGUGAGAUAAGUUUCGUAGUCGAAAGGGAAACAGCCCAGACCCACAGCUAAGGUCCCAAAGUACGGUUAAGUGGAAAAGGAUGUGGAGUUGCACAGACAACCAGGAUGUUGGCUUAGAAGCAGCCACUCAUUAAAAGAGUGCGUAAUAGCUCACUGGUCGAGUGACUCUGCGCCGAAAAUUUAACGGGGCUAAAUCGUACACCGAAGCUUGGGAAUAUCAGUUAUUCUUCAUGGACUUGCAAGGAAAGAGACCAUGGCACGAAGUGCCAUCAAAUUGUCCAUAAGGAUAAAGCGAGCUUGUGAAGAAUAACUGAUAUUGGUAGGAGAGCGUUGAAUGCGGGGUGAAGUCAGAGCGAAAGCGCUGGUGGACUGCAUUGAAGUGAGAAUGCCGGAAUGAGUAGCGAGAUUUAUGUGAGAAUCAUAAAGGCCGAAAGACUAAGGUUUCAGAAGGAAGGUUCGUCCGCUUCUGGUUAGCCGGGAGCUAAGGUGAGGCCGAAAGGCGUAGCCGAUGCACAUACGGUGGAGAUUCCGUAGCCGUCGAAAUAUUUAAGCAAAGGGACACUUAUGAAGGACAUGACCCGGGCGAUGGUAGCCCCGGGCGUAAGGGACUGAAAACAAGUAAGGAAGCAUGUUUGGAUUAAGGCGAGAAAAGCUUUGUGUAUAUAUGAGACGUCCGUACCGCAAACCGACACAGGUAGUCAGGAAGAGGAUUCUAAGGCCAACGGGAGAAGGGUAGUUAAGGAACUCGGCAAAUUGACCCCGUAACUUCGGGAUAAGGGGCGGUGCGUAAGCACCCGCAGUGAAUAGGUCCAGGCGACUGUUUAUCAAAAACACAGCUCUCUGCUAAAUCGAAAGAUGACGUAUAGGGGGUGACACCUGCCCGGUGCUGGAAGGUUAAGAGGAGGAGUGCAAGCUCCGAAUUGAAGCCCCAGUAAACGGCGGCCGUAACUAUAACGGUCCUAAGGUAGCGAAAUUCCUUGUCGGGUAAGUUCCGACCCGCACGAAUGGUGUAACGAUCUGGACGCUGUCUCAACUGCCCACCCGGCGAAAUUGUAGUACCGGUGAAGAUGCCGGUUACCCGCGGCAAGACGGAAAGACCCCAUGGAGCUUUACUGUAACUUGAUAUUGGGUCUUGGUAUUCUAUGUACAGGAUAGGCGGGAGACUAUGAAACAUACACGCCAGUGUAUGCGGAGUCACCCUUGGGAUACCGCUCUUAGAGUACUGAGAUUCUAACCUGCGGCCGUGAAUCCGGUCGGGGGACAUUGUCAGGUGGGCAGUUUGACUGGGGCGGUCGCCUCCUAAAAGGUAACGGAGGCGCUCAAAGGUUAGCUCAGCACGGUCGGAAACCGUGCCUCUGAGUGCAAACGCAAAAGCUAGCCUAACUGCGAGGCUGACGGGCCGAGCAGUAACGAAAGUUGGAGUUAGUGAUCCGGCGGUAUGUGAAUGGAAAUGC
rnacentral:rRNA from 1 species